GGCGCCUGCCCUUGCGGCGACGUGGCGCCCGCGCGAUGCUCGCAGUGCGGCCUGGAGCAGUACUGCGCCAACAUGUGCAACAUAACCAUCGACUCGCGCGUCCUCAAGACCAAGUCAGGGAAGACGUUCGGGCAGAUCAAGUCGCCGUCGAUAGAGGGCCCUGGCGCCUGUUCGUACUUCCUCCAACCUGACGCCGGCCAGCGGGUAGAGAUACAGCUCUACCGGCUGGUCUCUGUUGGGAGGUUCAAUGGCAGUAGCUGCGUCGGCGGCUGGAUCCAGCUGGGCGGCGCUACGGCCGUG